UACGGGGGGGGCAAGCGUUGUUCGGAAUUACUGGGCGUAAAGGGCUCGUAGGCGGCCAACUAAGUCAGACGUGAAAUCCCUCGGCUUAACCGGGGAACUGCGUCUGAUACUGGAUGGCUCGAGGUUGGGAGAGGGAUGCGGAAUUCCAGGUGUAGCGGUGAAAUGCGUAGAUAUGACAUAGAACACCAAUUGCGAAGGCAGCUGGCUACACGAAUAUUGACACUGAUGCACGAAAGCGUGGGGAUCAAACAGG
rnacentral:rRNA from 1 species